UACGGAGGGAGCUAGCGUUGUUCGGAAUUACUGGGCGUAAAGCGCACGUAGGCGGCUUUGUAAGUUAGAGGUGAAAGCCCGGGGCUCAACCCCGGAAUAGCCUUUAAGACUGCAUCGCUUGAAUCCGGGAGAGGUGAGUGGAAUUCCGAGUGUAGAGGUGAAAUUCGUAGAUAUUCGGAAGAACACCAGUGGCGAAGGCAGCCCCUGGGUCAAGAUUGACGCUCAUGCACGAAAGCGUGGGGAGCAAACAGG
rnacentral:rRNA from 1 species